AGGUAGGCAGUGGUUGCCGACCUCCCGCAUUAUUCGAAAUAUUUAUUUCGGAUUAUGUUUAUAUUGGUUACAUACAAUAAAGUAUAUUAUUAUCCGUACAAAUUUGUUUCUCAGUUCUAUAGAACACGGGACUUGGCUCCGCGGAUAAUAGGAAUAUACGCUUUUUAGAUAAUAUCGUUGAAACAAAAGUCAAGUUUCUAUUAUAUAUAGAAUAACAAAUCGUUUCCAUAUAUUAUCGUUAAUUUU
rnacentral:rRNA from 1 species